GCAACGUUCACCCAGGGCCGGAAAGUUGUCCAAACUUGGUCAUUUAGAGGAAGUAAAAGUCGUAACAAGGUCUCCGUAGAGCAGUGAUCUCUCUGCAGCGAACUUAAGGAAGCCUUUGCACCCCUAACGGGGGCUCUCGCGACUCUAAAUAAGGAGGCAUGCAAGUGACAAAGCCCAACGGCUGAGUUGCAACACAAUCGAAUUGCGGGGAAGUCCUAAAGCCUCAGGGUACUAACCUGCUGUAGGAAUGCAGCAGGGGCCUGUGUUAAUCGCACAGGGUAUAGUAACAACCCCGGAGGAUCUAGCCAGGUGUGCUAGAAUGGACGAUCCGCAGCGAAGCCCCUAGACCAGGGGAACGUUCACAGACUAAGUGGUUGUGGGUAGGAGGGACUCCUGCUUAAGAUAUAGUCGGGCCGGCGCGGAAACGCGCUGGGGAUUCGCAAGAACGUAAACCGCUCCGUAGGUGAACCUGCGGAGGGAUC
rnacentral:rRNA from 1 species